AUCAUGGAUUAAUUGUAAACAUAAAGAAAGACACUGAAAAAAAAAACAUAUCAAAGCUAUGGCUUUGGGGCAAACUCCAGUGCCACGGAAGCUAGAAUGUUUUCUUUUAUCAGAGCUCCCUUUCUGGCCUCUGAAAUUACUUCUUUCAUGUCUGAUAGUGAAGAACGAAGCCGCCUGCUCCCCGGAGAUGCGCGAUUGUUACCAUGGUCUCAUAACAUAUUGGCAGCCGAUGUGGCGUCCGCGUACACCUGUCACUCAGGUCUCCCGCGCAGAUGCGGCAGGCAGGCUCCGUUCGACGCGGGCCCCCUGCCCCCACCCCCACCUGGCGCCUGCACACUCAGGGCCCACGGCCGCGGGGCGGCGCAUCCGGGCUCGCGUGGCCGCGCGGGGGGCGGGCGCUGGCUGGUGGCUCUGCAGGGCGGCGGGGACCCCAGCGCUCGCCCCGCUGACCUCCCUCCAGCCAAGCGACCGGCCUCGGUCAGGCGGAAGAGUGGAGAUACUCAUCUGGAGCCUACAGAUAUGGUUGUGUGAAGCUGACAGAUAGCAUCAUCUAUUUGAAUGCCUAUGGACACCGUAGGAAGACAAAAAAAG
ensembl:lncRNA